ACGGCUGGCCACAAGGAUGGCAGGCUUCGCGGAGCUCGGGCUGUCAUCGUGGCUCGUGGAACAAUGUCGGCAGCUGGGUUUGAAGCAGCCCACGCCCGUGCAGCUCGGCUGCAUCCCAGCCAUCCUGGAGGGUCGAGACUGCUUGGGCUGUGCCAAGACAGGCAGUGGGAAGACAGCAGCAUUUGUCCUUCCCAUCUUGCAGAAGCUGUCUGAGGAUCCCUAUGGCAUCUUCUGCCUCGUCCUGACACCCACCAGGGAGCUGGCCUACCAGAUCGCAGAGCAGUUCCGGGUUCUGGGGAAGCCUCUAGGGCUGAAAGACUGCAUCAUCGUCGGUGGCAUGGGUAUGGGAGCUGGGAGGCGGGGGAAGCCCCAGCAUGGGACCCUAACAGCUUUGGACCACCUGCCCAGCCCUGCCUCUCAUGCUCUGUCCCCCAGACAUGGUGGCCCAGGCGCUGGAGCUCUCUCGGAAACCGCACGUGGUCAUCGCCACGCCGGGGCGCCUGGCAGAUCACCUGCGCAGCUCCAACACUUUUAGUAUAAAGAAGAUCCGCUUCCUGGUGAGUUCGCCCCGC
rnacentral:sRNA from 1 species